AUUGAACGCUGGCGGCAGGCCUAACCCAUGCAAGUCGAACGCGUGGCGGCCGUGUGACUAAUGUCUGGGCCACUGCCUGUGGGAGGGGGAUAAGUACCGGACACGAUAGCUAAUACCGCAUUCCAUCAGCUGUGCCCAGAUGGGUUUAGCUUGUUGGUGGGGUAACGGCUCACCAAGGCGACGAUCCCUAGCGGGUCUGAGAGGAUGACCAGCCACACUGGAACUGAGACACGGUCCAGACUCCUACGGGAGGCAGCAGUGGGGAAUAUUGCACAAUGGGCGAAAGCCUGAUGCAGCCAUGCCGCGUGUAUGAAGAAGGCCUUCGGAUUGUAAAGUACUUUAAGCGGGGAGGCGUUACCCGCAGAAGAAGCACCGGCUAACUCCGUGCCAGCAGCCGCGGUAAUAC
rnacentral:rRNA from 1 species